rnacentral:rRNA from 1 species
UACAGAGGGGGCAAGCGUUGUUCGGAAUUACUGGGCGUAAAGGGCGCGUAGGCGGCCAACUAAGUCAGACGUGAAAUCCCUCGGCUCAACCGGGGAACUGCGUCUGAUACUGGAUGGCUUGAAUUCGGGAGAGGGAUGCGGAAUUCCAGGUGUAGCGGUGAAAUGCGUAGAUAUCUGGAGGAACACCGGUGGCGAAGGCGGCAUCCUGGACCGAGAUUGACGCUGAUGCGCGAAAGCCAGGGGAGCAAACGGG